GUCUCCAGAUGCGUGUCUACUGCUGAGUUGCAGGGGAAACCAGCAAGCAUGGUGAUCCGUGCCCCUGCUCACCUCUCCUCUAAGACCUGGCACUGCCCAUCCACCUGGACGACUUCCUGCUUUUCAGAUAUCAGAAUGCAGGUGUGCCUGUGGAGUGGUACAACUGCAUCCUUUUCUCUCAGCGCAACCCGAGUGGACAUCGACCCGUUCAGAUUUAGCAGAGAUUCUUUUUUUCGCCAGUUCUUUCUACCCAUUAAGUGUGUUGCAGUAUCGGGAUUUGCCUGUGUGAGUGGCUUUAAAAGGAGGAAACCAGAGGACAAGAGCAGUUGCAUAUUGACGGUGUCAUGGAUGCCCUCUAACUUUAUCCAGUAGAGCUGUGGCAAGGAUGAAGAGAGUGAGCAUGUGUAAAGGGCUGCUGGUUGUGCACUCCGUGAACCUCUGCGCUUAUGGAAAGAAGAGACAUUUUGCUGGAAGGUUUGGGCUUCCAACUUUCCUGCUGACCGAGCUUGAACUGCUAGAAGGGGAAAAACAAACAGAGAUUCCACCUGCACCACGAGCCGGCCCCAGAGUAAACAUUCCACACACAUCGGCUGGGUUAUCUCCAGAAUGAUCCUGCAUGGCUGGUGCUGUUAUUAUCUCCAUGUUACAGGACUCAAAGAACUGGUCAGGGCUUAGCAGCCCCGGGACAACCUUGCCUGGAUGGAAGAUUUCACCUUUGGCGGAAAGGAGGCAAACUCAGCCAUGCUCUCAAGCAAAUUCCAACUGGGAUGCAGGUUUUCUUUCUCUUUUCCUGUUCCCCCUCUAGUUUAGAAGAGCUACUGCAUUGGCUGAUUCCCCAGGUUAGGAUUCCAAGGAAGCAAAAGUAAGAGUUAUUUCUUCAUUGAGCCUCAAGAGCCCUUUCAAUCCACUUGUUGUUGGCCCCAAGCCAAAGCCAGUUACCUUCUGAUGGAAAGAAAUGAUUUCCGUGUUAAUAUGAUUUGUAUCUGGCAAAUCCAUGCAGCCUGCUGAUUAUCAUCAUAUUCCUGGCCUUCCGUUCUUUUCAAAAUGACAGGCUAUUGAUCCAGCCUUCUCCCAGUUUUGAAGUUUAUGGAAAAGGACGUCUCCACGGUACAGUUCAUUCCCACUGGUCCUCGAGCUGCAGGGGAGACAUGUUGACUUUUGAAUUUCAGGUACUUUCCCUGCCCCUUUCAAUGAGGACCAAGCACCAAGAAUCUUCUGAUGCCUACCAGGCACAAUGCUGAGCCCAGAGUCGGCCCUCAGAGCUCGCUGAGCAGAACGGAGCUGGGGGUACCUGUCUCUCCCACCCUCCUCUGAGACUUUGCCCUUUAAAUUCAUCAGUGGCAGCACCGUGGGUUCUCUCCGCAGAGGCAGCGGCAUAGCCGGGCAUCUUCUCUUACCGACACUUUCUCUGUUUGGUGUGCGCUUAACAACCACCUUGAGGCUGGGUGAGAACCAGACUUGUUUUGAGGGACUCUGGGAAGGCAGAGCUGGGCUGUGGCCCUGGGUAUCCUGGCUCCAGGCCCAGUGCUCUUUCCCCUCAUCUUAUCCUCACAUCCCUCUCAGGCACCCUUCCAAGGCAGGCAGCGUAGCCCCACCAGCACUUAGACGGCAUCUUGGCCCUGCCGUUCAGGAGCUGCGGGAUCUUGAGCAGAUGUUAUCUUUCUAAGCCUCAGUUUCUCCAUCUGUUAACUGGAGCUAAGAAUGCCCCGGUCAGCAAUCCUCAGGGCCAUUGCACAAGUUAAAUGAGAUGAUGCCAGUGAAGCUUCUCACACAGAGGUUAUCUCUGAGUUAGGGCCCAAAUAGCUGUUUACUGGUGUGACUGGUGAUACUAUUGUUCUUUGGGGGAAACUGUUCUCUCUCUGAGCCAAGACCAAUGGCUCGAUCCGUAGGUCUUUCCUCAGCCUUGGUCUGGAUGUGGUCAUCAUUCCUCCAUCCACCUCCCUUUCUUAUUCUCUAAAUGAAAGAACCUGUCCUUUCAGCCAAAAGAAUUUGUCAGUGUUACCUGAGUUUCUAAGAUAUUUAGAAAGCCUCUUUCAAGGAGAAUCCUUAGAGACAGCAUGAAAAGAGAGUCAGGCCAGACAUCUGCCCCAUGAGGAGGAAGCCCGGAUUCUGGCCAACCACCUCUUCCCUCAUCUUCCUUUGUGGAGCAGAAACUUCACUAGAGACUGGAUUGAGCUGGCCCCCUGGUCUGGAUGUGGCCCUGAAACAGCACUGCUCAGCUGCCUCCAUCCCCUCCCCACCCAUCUGGGUACCAUGUCCUGCUGACUCUGUCUCCAUGACUCAUCUGAGUUUCCCUGUCAAACCCAGUGCCACCACCCCAGGCCAUGCUCCUCAUGCAUGGACAAUUAACUAGCCACUACCUAACGAGUCUUCUCGCCUUCAGGUUCUUAAGGAAUCCAGAACUCUGGACCAGACUGGGCUUCCUGGAGCCUGGCGCUGUUGGUGUGCCUUCUCAGCAGACUCCCACUUUAUAAAGCAAGCUUCUAAGCCUAGGCCAGGCAGAAUGUGGCCAACCCUGUCCCCCUGUCUCAUGUCACUGUCCUCCAUUAGGGCUGCACACCAUGUCCCGCACUCACGUUUCCCAAACACCCAUCCAAGGUGCUUUGAAAAAAUGAGUGUUCCGAGGCAUGACCCAAAUCUACUGAGACUUACUGCAGGUAGAUCCGGGGAAUCUAUAUUUAUAAAAGUGUUCCAGGGGACCAAAGCCCCAUCAGGGGUGGGAACCACUGUGCACAGGGCUGCCAGGGAGGUCUGUGCUCAGCCCCCACGCUUAUCACAUACUCCCACUUCCACACAUGCCACCCUCUUUGCCCACCAUCCAGGCUCUGCCUGCUAAUUUCUCCCCAUCUUUCAAGGCCCACGUCCAAGAACCUCUCCUCCAGGAAGUUUCUCCAGAUUCCUCCAGCAGAAGUAUGCCUCAUCUCCCAACAUCCUGUCCUCCCUCUCUGCUAUAUUCUAGGCAUUCCUUAAAGUCUGCCUCCACUGCCUCAUCUCCUGGCCCCUGGACAAAAGGAAGAUGUCGCUGUGGCUGGCUGCUCUCCAUCCUUUCCCCAUCCACUUGCAGAUAAUAGUAUUUAUGGAAUAGGAGCCUCUUAAGGAUUCAUGAGCUAUCCAUCUAGAGGACUUUGAAUUGUGCCAAGAGAUGUUAGCUCUCCGAAUCCUCACAGCCAUCAUGGCAUCUUCAUUCAGGUUUUUGGGGUUAUUUGUGUGCCCACAUUUUCUCCCUCGAGUUCCUGUUGACAGCAAGACUGUCCUGUUCCUCUUCCCACCCACUGCGACACUUGACACAAUACAGCUUUGGCAUGUAUACAGGACAUGUCAUAGUACUGGCUGGAUGGUGACAUGCUCUGAUACAGUUAACCGCUCCCCCUGUACCCCUCUCUUCUCUCCCCACCUGGCCCUACCACUGCAGUUUGCCCUCAAAGAACUUAGCACUCUUAGAGUUUGUAAUUAUGUCUUUACUUUUUGCAAUUAUUUGAUUAUCAUCUGAUAUUUUCACCAAGUUCUAAGUUCCCUGAAGGCAGGGAUUUUAAAGUCAUUAAUUAGCCACCCCUAAUUAAUCUAAAAUUGAUUCAUUAACCUACCAAUGGACUUUUUUUUUUUUGGUUCUCCUAAUUAUACUAAUAUAAUAGAGGGGGUUCUGAAUAGUAGAGCAAUUAUGGUAAACGAGUUCUACGAGUAGCUAGAACUAUAUUCAGUGACCAUAUCAGAGUCUAGAUCAAUCAGAGCAUAGUUAAUUGGGUUAUUGACAGAGGUACAAGGUAGGCUUCAGUGUGGGCUCUGCAGUCAGGUGGGCUAGUUUGGGACAAUCUCACUUGUUACCUGUGUGACUAUAAACAAGGCCGUGACUCUACGCUUCUCAUCCGUAAAAUGGAGAUAAGAGUAGAUGGACCUCAUAGGAUCACUGGGCAUGUGAAAUGCUUACUCAGGAAGUUAGUUAUUAUGACGAUAAUACUGCUGACUUCCAAAUAACAUCAAACGAACCUAAUUAAAUGUUUAUGGGUAAGAUCAUGGGCUUCCAUUUUCUUAUCUGUGGGGAUAGUUUUUAUAAUAAAAAUGAUGAGCUGUUUACAAGGGAACAAUAAUGAUGGAGAUUUAGGGCCCAUCCAAGUACAUCCCAACCCCUGACCAGAAAUAUACUCACUUUAUAGAAAAUAAAGUCAUCACAGGUUUUACUUCCUCAAGGAAAGUUUAAGCAGAUUUAAAUUUUUCCUCAUAGAAAAACUAAAAUGAGUGAUUUGGGAACCAGGACAAAGAAAAAAAAGGGAAGGUCUCCAUUCAACCCCAUUCACCUGCUCUUCCAGCUGUAGGGCACUUGCCCUCCUGGAACUUUGAUGACAAACACAGAAUAUCACUGUGACCUUAAUAAAAUCUAGAGCCCUGCACUGUUUACGCACAAGGUCAUAUUCGAAAUCACGCAAUGCAAGGCCCACAGGCAAUUAAAGGGGAAUUGCUCAUCUUUAUUAGUAUCUCCCAAAGUACAGUUGGCCCUCUGUAUCUGUGGGUUUCACAUCUGAAAUUUCCAUCCACAGGUAGGAGAUGGAUAUGGAGGGCCGGCUAUAUUCAUUGUUCUCCAUUAUUUUAUGGAAGAGACAGGACCAUUCAUGGAUUUGGAUUCACCUGGAGCCACCCCCAGGCAUACUGAGAGACAGCCGUACAUUAAAAGGGACUCGGGUGUUGCUGUUGUGGCUCAGCCUGUUGAAAACCCGACUAGUAUCCAUAAGGAUGCAGGUUCGAUCCCUGGCCUCACUCAGUGGGUUAAGGAUUCAGUGUUGUCGUGAGCUGUGGUGUAGGACGCAGAUGAGGCUUGGAUCCAGCAUUGCUGUGGCUGUGGUGUAGGCCAGUAGCUGCAGCUCCAAUUCGACCCCUAGCCCGGGAACUUCCAUAUGCCACAGCUGUGGCCCUAAAAAGAAAAAAAAAAGUGAUUCAGUUCAUAGGUCACCAUAGUAUAUGUCAGAAGCACCUCCUCUCUGCCCUCAGAGAUGCUAUUUGGAGAUACUCCAAACCCCAGAUGCUUCCUCAAGCCUCAGCCCCUGGUAAAGGGUGUAGACCUUUCUCCUCCUACCUCCCUACUUGCUCCUUCUAUUGAUUGACCUCAUCCCUUUACCUCCCCACCCCCAACCCCUUCCACCUACCCCCUCUUCCCACAUCACAAAAGAUCCUGGACUGGGGCUGAUUAAAAGCUCUCCUUUACUGGAGGAGUGCUGGGCAGGGGCAGGCGGCAUAGAGGAUGACUAUCGUCUUUCCGGCUCCCUCUUUCAGAAACUGAAAAUUCUGUUUCUUUUCUGACUGUAGGUCACUGUCAUGGAACUGUUGACUAGGAUACGUAACUCAGGUUAGGUCAACCAGAUUCUCCCUGCUACCUCUCCCGGCAGCAGUGCCCCAGUGAGGCUCCUGAUUGGUUCCUGCCUUCCCCACCCCCUUGCUACCCAGACCUCUGCCACUGUCCAAGCCCAAUUCUUCAAUUUUCUCUACACCCUGCGAGCUGUCAAAAAUCUUUCCAACAAAUGUGUCUGCGUAAUUUGUCCACGUUGAUUUCUGUUGUUUGCAACCAAAGAACACUAGGUUAAUACCAAAAACUCUCAUAUUAAUCCAUCUUGUCACCAUCUCUGUUUGUGAGAUUACAGCUGCAGACCUGGACCAAUGAACCUGAAUUUAACUGAAGUAAUUUAUGGCAACACAAGGCCAAAAAGCAGCCUCCAUCAAAUUUGCUUUCUGGAGUUCCCCUUGUGGCUCAGAGGGUUAAGAGCCCAACAUAGUGCCCACGAGGAUGUGGGUUCAAACCCUGGCCUCGCUCAGUGUGUUAAGGAUCCCUUGUUGCUGUGGCUGUGGCAGAGGCCAGCAGCUGCAGCUCCAAUGUGACCUCUAGCCCUGGAACUUCCAUAUGCCACAGGUGCGGCUGUAAAAAAACUUUUUUUAAAAUUUGCUUUCUACUACCAUUUCUCAUUCUCUAACAAAAUCAUUCGGACCUACCUAAAAUUCCUGAUGAGGCAAAGAGUAAUGGUUACUCAAACAUUUUGUAAAACCUAUGUUCACUUUCUAGAGGCUAUGUUCAGUAAUAAAAAUAACAUG
rnacentral:lncRNA from 1 species